AACGAACGCUGGCGGCAGGCCUAACACAUGCAAGUCGAGCGAAGCCUUCGGGCUUAGCGGCGGACGGGUGAGUAACGCGUGGGAACGUGCCCUUUGCUACGGAAUAGCCCCGGGAAACUGGGAGUAAUACCGUAUGUGCCCUUCGGGGGAAAGAUUUAUCGGCAAAGGAUCGGCCCGCGUUGGAUUAGGUAUUUGGUGGGGUAAGGGCCUACCUAGCCGACGAUCCAUAGCUGGUUCGAGAGGAUGAUCAGCCCCACUGGGAAUGAGACACGGCCCAGACUCCUACGGGAGGCAGAAGUGGGGAAUCUUAGACAAUGGGCGCAAGCCUGAUCUAGCCAUGCCGCGUGAUCGAUGAAGGCCUUAGGGUUGUAAAGAUCUUUCAGGUGGGAAGAUAAUGACUGUACCACCAGAAGAAGCCCCGGCUAACUCCGUGCCAGCCGCCGCCGUAAAAC
rnacentral:rRNA from 1 species